rnacentral:misc_RNA from 1 species
GUACCCUCAAGCUUUGCUUGGUGUUGGGUGUUUGUCCCGCGCGUUUGCGCAGACUCGCCUUAAAUCAAUUGGCAGCCGGCAUGUUAGCCUGGAGCGCAGCACAUUUUGCGCCCCUUUCUAGCUUGUGUUGGCCCCCAUCAAGUCCAUAUAUUUGC